UCAAGACUUGCAGAUUCACAGGAUCUUCAUAGACUACAAGGGAUAGAUUAGUGGACGGUUCUUCACUAUCUUCCUCAUCUAGGGGGGAGCAUAGAAAGAGUAAGUUUCAUAUGCUCAGUAAGAAAAAUAGUAUUUAAAUAAUAUCGUAAGGUUUAAAAGGUGAAUAAUUGUGCAGAAAUACUUAUCAUUAGAUCACGUUGGAGUCCUAUCUUACCUUAUGAAAAUAAUUUUAAUUUAUUAAGUAAACAUCAUACUCAACAAUAGAUAAAAU
rnacentral:lncRNA from 1 species